GGUAGUCCACGCCGUAAACGAUGUCGACUUGGAGGUUGUGCCCUUGAGGCGUGGCUUCCGGAGCUAACGCGUUAAGUCGACCGCCUGGGGAGUACGGCCGCAAGGUUAAAACUCAAAUGAAUUGACGGGGGCCCGCACAAGCGGUGGAGCAUGUGGUUUAAUUCGAUGCAACGCGAAGAACCUUACCUGGCCUUGACAUCCACAGAACUUUCCAGAGAUGGAUUGGUGCCUUCGGGAACUGUGAGACAGGUGCUGCAUGGCUGUCGUCAGCUCGUGUUGUGAAAUGUUGGGUUAAGUCCCGCAACGAGCGCAACCCUUAUCCUUUGUUGCCAGCGAUUCGGUCGGGAACUCAAAGGAGACUGCCGGUGAUAAACCGGAGGAAGGUGGGGAUGACGUCAAGUCAUCAUGGCCCUUACGGCCAGGGCUACACACGUGCUACAAUGGCGCAUACAAAGAGAAGCGACCUCGCGAGAGCAAGCGGACCUCACAAAGUGCGUCGUAGUCCGGAUCGGAGUCUGCAACUCGACUCCGUGAAGUCGGAAUCGCUAGUAAUCGUGGAUCAGAAUGCCACGGUGAAUACGUUCCCGGGCCUUGUACACACCGCCCGUCACACCAUGGGAGUGGGUUGCAAAAGAAGUAGGUAGCUUAACCUUCGGGAGGGCGCUUACCACUUUGUGAUUCAUGACUGGGGUGAAGUCGUAACAAGGUAACC
rnacentral:rRNA from 1 species